rnacentral:rRNA from 1 species
GAUGAACGCUAGCGGCAGGCCUAAUACAUGCAAGUCGAACGAUACCAGAGAGCUUGCUUUCUGGGAAAGUGGCGCACGGGUGCGUAACGCGUAUGCAACCUACCUUAAUCAGGGGGAUAGCCUCUCGAAAGAGAGAUUAACACCGCAUAAAAUCACACUUCGGCAUCGAAGAAUGAUCAAAUAUUUAUAGGAUUAAGAUGGGCACGCGUGACAUUAGUUUGUUGGUGAGGUAACGGCUCACCAAGACUACGAUGUCUAGGGGAUCUGAGAGGAUGACCCCCCACACUGGUACUGAGACACGGACCAGACUCCUACGGGAGGCAGCAGUAAGGAAUAUUGGUCAAUGGGGGCAACCCUGAACCAGCCAUGCCGCGUGCAGGAAGACGGCCCUACGGGUUGUAAACUGCUUUUAUACGGGAAUAAAUCACGCUACGUGUAGCGUGUUGAAUGUACUGUAAGAAUAAGGAUCGGCUAACUCCGU